ACAUGGGCCACAACACGGAAGAUUGUGUGACCCUCAAAGAUAAAAUAGAGGAGCUGAUUCAAGUAGGACAGUUGCAACACUAUGUGAAGGAAUAUCGGGCGGUGAGGAGGUCAUCGGUGAGGGACGCGAGCCCCGUGAGAAGCGUCCCCAGGGGGAGAAGUCCCCGACGCCCCAAGGAUAAAAGAGUGGUCCCCCUUACGAAAGUAGAUCCGACCGAUAGGAAGACGAUCGAAGGUCGAAUUUCCAUAAACGAAGUAGAAGUAUAAGCAGGGAGAGGGCAAGUAGUCCCCCCUUUAGGAGAAUGAUUAACAC
rnacentral:lncRNA from 1 species